AGCGGCUGCCGGGGAGGGAGCCCGAGCGCGGCGGGGCGAGACCGGUCCCCGCCCGGCGUUGCCCGGCCCGAGGGACGGCGGCGCCCCCAGGACCCUCCCCAGCGUGGCCCCAGCUCGCUCCGGGACCGCGGGCCAGGCCGGGCGGGAGCGCGGGGACGUACACGGCGGCCCCGCCCGCGCGCUCCUCCUCCCUCCCGGCCGGCCCUGCGCAGGCGGCGGUGGCCCCAGUCUCCGCGCUGCUGCGGCGCGCCCGGCCGCUCCCACGGCCUCCCCUCCGCCCUGCGGUCCCGCCGCCUCCGGGGCCGCCUGGGACCCUGGCCCUCGCCGGGCAGGACGCCGCCAGCGCUGAAGGCGCAGCCCGGAGGCCGCGCGGAUGCAGAUCUGUGGAUCCAGCGUAGCAUCUGUAGCAGCUGGGACAUCAUUCCAGGUUUUGGGCCCGGUGUGUUGGCCACAACUGGAUCUGAAGAUGGCAGUCAGGGUGCUUUGGGGUGGUCUCAGCCUGCUCCGAGUGCUGUGGUGUCUCCUUCCGCAGACGGGCUAUGUGCACCCAGAUGAGUUCUUCCAGUCCCCUGAGGUGAUGGCAGGUAAAACUCCGCAUGUGUGGCUGAGACAAGCUGCAGCAGAGUCUGCUUGAGAAGCUGACGGGAGACUUUGUGGGGAGGGAGUAGCAUGUCUGGGCAGAUGAGUGGUAAAUCCACAAGCAGAGCAGCAGCCUCUCUCUCUGGGGUAAGAACUUGGAAGUGGGGACUUCAUAUCUCCUUCCCGAGUGGUGACACUGACCUUCUGGGUAAUGCUAAUAAACCGCCAGUCUCUUUGAUGUAUCCCUGCUUGGACCAACAAUACAAGUCAUUCAGAAUGAGAGCUGUG
rnacentral:sRNA from 1 species